AGUGAACGCUGGCGGUAGGCCUAACACAUGCAAGUCGAACGGCAGCACAGUAAGAGCUUGCUCUUACGGGUGGCGAGUGGCGGACGGGUGAGGAAUACAUCGGAAUCUACUUUUUCGUGGGGGAUAACGUAGGGAAACUUACGCUAAUACCGCAUACGGCCUACGGGGGAAAGCAGGGGAUCUUCGGACCUUGCGCGAUUGAAUGAGCCGAUGUCGGAUUAGCUAGUUGGCGGGGUAAAGGCCAACCAAGGCGACGAUCCGUAGCUGGUCUGAGAGGAUGAUCAGCACAACUGGAUCUGAGACACGGUCCAGACCCCUACGGGAGGAAGCAGUGGGGAAUAUUGGCCAAUGGGCGCAAGCCUGAUCAAGCCAUACCGAGUGGGUGAAGAAGGCCUUCGGGUUGUAAAGCCCUUUUGUUGGGAAAGAAAAGCAGCAGGUUAAUACCCCGCUGUUCUGACGGAACCAAAAGAAUAAACACCGGCUAACUUCGU
rnacentral:rRNA from 1 species